UGAUCCAUUAUUUUACAGUGAAUUUGGGCCUGGACUUGACUGGCCUCACAUGCCUCUUCAGCCAUUUGUCCCCUUGCAGGGAUUCUUGGGACGGGAUGCUGGAAGUUAAUGGACACAAUGCUCAACGACUCGUUUCAGGGGAAUUAUUAAGUUUACCCACAAAACCAGUACAAAUAACUCAGCGCUGACCUGCCGGAUGGCUUUGGAAGGGCAACCUCCCAGAGGGACGGCGUUGGGAGCUUAAUUAGAAUGUCAGGAGACACUUUCAAAGAAGUGUGAGAUGAGAGUCCACUCCAAUGGGAAACCUGAGCCGAUCGUCUUUCCCAGUUCAAGGCAAACUGUUGAAUGGGAUCAGACACAAGGAAUCACAGCAAAGACAGGAAGCAGUGAAGAGCAGAGGAUGUGUUUUUGGUGAGCACUUCAUCUGUGUAUCUCAGCCAGUGUUAUUAUCAUUAUCAUUGAGAUGUAUUGUAAUUUUUAUUCAUAAUUUAAAUAAUUUUUAUUGUUACAUUUUCUGUUUUCAUUUUAAUUUUUAGUUUAAGGUUUAAAAAUUUUGUUAGGUGUUUUUGUCAUUUUUAUUAGUUUUUUUAAUAUGUCUGUAUUUUUUAUCUUUUUUGUUUAAGUUUAAGUAAUUUUGUUUUGUUUUUAUAAUUUUUAUUAAGUAUAGUUUAAAAAAAUGUCUGUAUAGUUUUUAUAAUUUUUGGUUUUGUCA
ensembl:lncRNA